UACGAAGGGGGCUAGCGUUGCUCGGAAUCACUGGGCGUAAAGCGCACGUAGGCGGAUCUUUAAGUCAGGCGUGAAAUCCCUGGGCUCAACCCAGGAAUUGCACUUGAAACUGCAAGCCUUGAGUGUCGGAGAGGAAAGUGGAAUUCCUGGUGUAGAGGUGAAAUUCGUAGAUAUCAGGAGGAACACCGGUGGCGAAGGCGGCUUUCUGGACGACAACUGACGCUGAGACGCGAAAGCGUGGGGAGCAAACAGG
rnacentral:rRNA from 1 species